rnacentral:lncRNA from 1 species
GAUAUGAGAAGCCGAGGAAAGCGUGUUCCCAAAGCUAUUUGUGACCACCCCUUCCUCUUCUCCCUAACAAGGAAACCCUGCCUGUGACGAGCUGUACAAGGCCUGGCUCAGCGGCUGGCGGGACAGCAACUGGAGACUUAGGAAGAAAAACAACUUCUAAACGUGGUGUUCGUGCAAGAAAGUAUCAGAAAGUGGAAAAUCUCUGAUCCACGCCAUCUGUUUGUCUCAUCCAGUGGUGCAUUCCAAUCUCUGCAACAGAAGAUUCAUGACAACCUGCCAAUAAAAUUCCUGAGAUUGUCAAAACGCAGAAUACUUCUGAAAAAGUUUAAGAUAAGAUUCUUUCAUGUUUAAAUUCCUCAUACACACCCUUUCUCUCAGAGCACAGCUGGCUUCAGUACCAGAUUUCAGGGUCCUGGCUCUGUCUUAGAGGAGUAGAAUCAUAUUCAGCAGAUCCUGCAUAUUCCUGGAAGGGGCUUUCUGACCACAUGAUCUUCAGGGUGACACAUGGACAAGAAACAGAUCUUCUUCUUGUAAUAAAUGGAUCUGCUGUGAGCCUCACAAAAAUCAACUGCAGUUUUGCAUAUUAACAUGCUCAUUCAUCAAGUAACCAUAAAAAUGUCCUGUG